rnacentral:rRNA from 1 species
CGCAAGGUAGGCGUAACGACGUGAGGCAACAUGCCCGUAUCAGGGGGGAUAAUCCAUGGAAACGUGGUCUAAUACCCCAUAGUAAUUAUGUAAGGCAUCUUAUAUAAUUUAAAGCUUUGGUGGAUACGGAUUGGCUCGCGUGACAUUAGCUAGAUGGUAAGGUAACGGCUUACCAUGGCUACGAUGUCUAGGGGUUCUGAGAGGAAGGUCCCCCACACUGGAACUGAGACACGGUCCAGACUCCUACGGGAGGCAGCAGUGAGGAAUAUUGGACAAUGGAUGGAAAUCUGAUCCAGCCAUGCCGCGUGCAGGAAGACGGCCCUAUGGGUUGUAAACUGCUUUUGUAUGGGAGCAAUAAGGGCUACGCGUAGUCCGAUGAGAGCACCAUACGAAUAAGCACCGGCUAACUCCGUGCCAGCCGCGGC